rnacentral:rRNA from 1 species
GUGUCAGCAGCCGCGGUAAUACGGAGGGUGCAAGCGUUGUCCGGAUUUAUUGGGUUUAAAGGGUGCGUAGGCGGCUAUUUAAGUCAGUGGUGAAAUCCAACAGCUUAACUGUUGAACUGCCAUUGAUACUGGAUGGCUUGAGUACAGACGAGGUAGGCGGAAUUUAUGGUGUAGCGGUGAAAUGCAUAGAUACCAUAAAGAACACCGAUUGCGAAGGCAGCUUACUAGGCUGUAACUGACGCUGAGGCACGAAAGUGUGGGGAUCAAACAGGAUUAGAUACCCUUGUAGUCC